rnacentral:sRNA from 1 species
AUACUUGCUCCCUGAUUUAUUUUACUCCCUUUCCCACACUUUAGUAGCUUCCCUCUAUUAUCACUUUCUUUUAUUGAUUUGAAAUGGAAUUGAAAAUUUUGGUAUGUAUCUUCUUAGCCUUGCUACUUCCCUUGGUUUUGAUUUAAAGUAAUAGGGUCUGUCACUUUUUUUUCCUAUAAAAUGUUUAUUUAUGCUAUACGGUUUUGAAAUAACUUAAAUUGAUAGUCACUCAUUCAUUUGGGGCAAUGCUCUCAUUAGUGGCUAAAUGUAAAGCUAGCCCAUAAUAUUGCUCUCAUGUUUACAGGAGAGUGUGGCAGCAAAUUUAAUUGCUAAACUAAUUUAGAAUCUUUUUCUUCUCCACAUAGCAAAUCAAUAUGUGUGGAUCAGAAUAAACCACUGUUUAUCACAGCAGGAUUGGAUUCUUUCGGUCAAAUAGGAUCUCCUCCUGUUCCUGAAAAUGACAUUGGAAAGCUUCAUGCCCACUCACCAAUGGAGUUGUGGAAAAAAGUGUAUGAAAAGCUCUUUCCACCAAAGAGUAUUAACACGCUGAAAGAUAUC